rnacentral:rRNA from 1 species
UACGUAGGUGACAAGCGUUGUCCGGAUUUACUGGGCGUAAAGAGCGCGCAGGCGGUCGUUCAAGUCGAGUGUGAAAGCCCCCGGCUCAACUGGGGGAGGGUCAUUCGAUACUGAUCGACUCGAAGGCAGGAGAGGGUAGUGGAAUUCCUGGUGUAGCGGUGAAAUGCGCAGAUAUCAGGAAGAACACCCGUGGCGAAGGCGGCUCUCUGGGGACGGUACUGACGCUGAGACGCGAAAAGCGUGGGGAGCGAACAGGG